rnacentral:tRNA from 1 species
GGUUAGGUGGCCGAGAGGCGAGGCACGGGUCUGCAACACCUGUUACAGCGGUUCAAAUCCGCUUCUAACCUCUA